AUGCUAAAUGCAGGACCAGAAAUGUUGAAUGCAGUUUGGCCGAAAAUUGCACAUAAGGGUAGUAUAGUACUUUCGCUUCUCCAGGGGGUAUGUUAGAGGAUAAUUUUGGCUUGAGUUUAUCCCUAAUUUAUUUGGUAGCUGGAGGUAUGUAAAAUAAGUCCUUUUUUGGAUAUGGCGUUUGCCCGUGUCACUUUUCCCGUUUCUCCAUAUUACCGUGUCCGUGCUACAGAACUUCUUGAAUAAAUACUUAAACUAACAACCAAAGAAAAAAAAAGAAAAAAAAAA